UACGUAGGGUGCGAGCGUUGUCCGGAAUUAUUGGGCGUAAAGAGCUCGUAGGCGGUGUGUCGCGUCGGCCGUGAAAACCUGCAGCUUAACUGUGGGCUUGCGGUCGAUACGGGCAUCACUGGAGUUCGGCAGGGGAGACUGGAAUCCUGGUGUAGCGGUGAAAUGCGCAGAUAUCAGGAGGAACACCGGUGGCGAAGGCGGAUCUCUGGGCCGAUGACUGACGCUGAGGAGCGAAAGCGUGGGGAGCGAACAGGAUUAGA
rnacentral:rRNA from 1 species